UGAAAGUUUGAUUCUAUUUGUGCACACGGGC
rnacentral:piRNA from 1 species